CAGUAGCCACGGGAAUACGUAGGGUGCAAGCGUUAAUCGGAAUUACUGGGCGUAAAGCGAGUGUAGGCGGUUCGGUAAGUCGGAUGUGAAAGCCCCGGGCUCAACCCGGGAAGUGCACUCGAUACUACCAAGCUAGAGUACUGGAGAGGUUGGUGGAAUUCUCGGUGUAGAGGUGAAAUUCGUAGAUAUCGAGAGGAACACCGGUGGCGAAGGCGGCCAACUGGACAGAUACUGACGCUGAGACUCGAAAGCGUGGGGAGCAAACAGGAUUAGAGACCCCUGUAGUCCCUGUCUCUUAUAC
rnacentral:rRNA from 1 species